rnacentral:tRNA from 1 species
GGCGGUAUAGCUCAGUUGGUAGAGCAACGGAAUCAUAAUCCGUGUGUCGUCGGUUCAAGCCCGGCUGCCGCUAC